GCGCCGGGCCUGGGCCAGCAGGGCAGCUGCGACCCGAGCGCUCUCCGGGCGGCGAGCUGGGGGUGCGCCCGGACCCCCGCCCCCGGGAUCAUGGGGAAUGGCAUGACCAAGGUACUUCCUGGACUCUACCUCGGAAACUUCAUUGAUGCCAAAGACCCGGACCAGUUGGGCCGGAACAAGAUCACACACAUCAUCUCUAUCCACGAGUCACCCCAGCCUCUGCUGCAGGU